rnacentral:rRNA from 1 species
GACGAACGCUGGCGGCGUGCUUAACACAUGCAAGUCGAACGCUGAAGCUCAGCUUUUGUUGGGUGGAUGAGUGGCGAACGGGUGAGUAACACGUGAGUAACCUGCCCCCUUCUUUGGGAUAACGCCCGGAAACGGGUGCUAAUACUGGAUAUUCACUGGUCUUCGCAUGGGGGUUGGUGGAAAGGGUUUUUCUGGUGGGGGAUGGGCUCGCGGCCUAUCAGCUUGUUGGUGGGGUGAUGGCCUACCAAGGCUUUGACGGGUAGCCGGCCUGAGAGGGUGACCGGCCACAUUGGGACUGAGAUACGGCCCAGACUCCUACGGGAGGCAGCAGUGGGGAAUAUUGCACAAUGGGCGCAAGCCUGAUGCAGCGACGCCGCGUGAGGGAUGGAGGCCUUCGGGUUGUGAACCUCUUUCGCUCAUGGUCAAGCCGCAACAAUGGUUGUGGUGAGGGUAGUGGGUAAAGAAGCGCCGGCUAACUACGU